UUAUAGAGCACAGUACAGCUUGGUACAAAUAGCCUUAGACUGGAAUCCAAGAGAUCAAGAUUCUAGUACAGUUCUGCUAGCAUCAAUUUUUUUUUGCUUUUGUUUUCCCUUAUAAACUUGGAAGCCACGAAUAUGUGUGGGGGUAGUGGUGGUUUAAAGAACCUGUAUAUCCUUUGCAAAUAAGUAAAAUCAAAUUUACAGCUGAGAUCUACCAUCCUUUUAAAAUUUUUCAGCAUCUAAUUUACUAGAGGAAAAAGUGGUUAAUUACCUUUCAGCAAGUCUAUAGUGGUAGAAGAGGCUUUCCUACGUGAGCUAGCCAAACACUCUGGAUUGAGGAAGGUUUAGUUUUUCUGAUUUACCUGAUAAGCCUUUCUGGCAAGCAGCUGGGGUGUGUGGGUGUGUGUGUGUAAAUGUAAUCUUUCUGAUUUACUUGAUAAACCUUUCUGGUAAGCAGCUGUGUGUGUGUGUGUGUGUGUGUAAAUGUAAUCUUUCUGAUUUACUUGAUAAAUCUUUCUGGCAAGGAGCUGGGGUGUGGGUGUGGGUGUGUAAGUAAAUGUGCUCACCUUAUCAUUGAAUGUUAGUUGGUCUGAUUGAGGUAUAAUUGCUAACAAUUAGAUGUUUUAAUCACAACAUGGAAGUUUUUGUAUUUUAAAAGAAAACUAAUUCUUCUAAAGAAAAAUCCAUAAUGCACUGCCUCUAAACUGCCUAUAAUCUUUUUGGCACAGGCAAGGAGGAAAUAUUUCAUUUUGGCAAGAGAGAGAAAUCCAAAUGUAAGAGCAGUUUCAUACACCCACAAGAAAAAUGUCAUUACAUUUUGGAAAAUGAGAGAAUGAAUCAGGAAUAGCUUUUGUAGUUUGGGGGAGAAUGGAUACAUGUAUAUAUGUGGCUGAACCCCUUUGCUGUCCACCUGAAACUUUCGCAGCAUUGUUAAUUGGCUAUAUUCCAAUACAAAAUAAAAGGUUUUAAAAAACAGCUUUUGAAAAGAUUUCAAGUAAUUUAAUUGGUAUUUCUAUUUACUUACUCAGUUUGGUCUUAAAUACUUUCUGUUGGUGUUUAAAGUACUCCGUUAUUAGGAAGAAAAUCAGCUAGUAUAAAGGCCAGUUGUAGAAAUCACUAAUUGGAUUCAAUAUUCCUUUCUUCAAGGGUGUAUUUAUUAUUCAACCCAACAACUCUCUUACUAGAUAUGUAUAGCCCAAAGAAUUGAAACAGGUGUUGAAAUAAGUACACAUAGAUUCAUAUUAAUAGCAGCACUAUGUAGAAACUACUCAUAUGUCUUAUUGGAUUAAUAGAUAAGCAAAUUGUGGUACAUCUGUACAGAGGAAUAUUAUCCAGCCAUAGAAAGGAAUGAAGUACAGAUCCAUGUGGAAACAUGGGUUAACUUUAAAAACAUUUAUUGUAAGUAAAGAGAUGUGAGACUUGGGCAGUUAAGGCUGAGCGCUGAAGGGUUGAUGCUUUCAAACUGUGGUGCUCGAGAAGGCUCUUGAGAAAGUAGCUUGAGAGUCCCUUUGACUGUGAGGAGAUCAAACCAGUCAACCCUAAAGGAAAUCAACCCUGAAUAUUCACU
rnacentral:lncRNA from 1 species